CAGAGAAUAGUUUAUAAAAAUUUUAAUUUUGGAAAUUAAUGAUGGAAGGAAUUUCCUUCUCUGA
rnacentral:tRNA from 1 species